UACGUAGGGCGCAAGCGUUAUCCGGAAUUAUUGGGCGUAAAGAGCUCGUAGGCGGUUUGUCGCGUCUGCCGUGAAAGUCCGGGCUCAACUCCGGAUCUGCGGUGGGUACGGGCAGACUAGAGUGAUGUAGGGGAGACUGGAAUUCCUGGUGUAGCGGUGAAAUGCGCAGAUAUCAGGAGGAACACCGAUGGCGAAGGCAGGUCUCUGGGCAUUAACUGACGCUGAGGAGCGAAAGCAUGGGGAGCGAACAGGAUUAGACUACC
rnacentral:rRNA from 1 species